rnacentral:rRNA from 1 species
GAGACUCUGUGCGCGUGCAUAUCAAUAAGCGGAGGAAAAGAAACUAACAAGGAUUCCCUUAGUAACGGCGAGUGGAGCGGGAAGAGCUCAAAUUUGAAAUCUUCAAGGGUUUACCUUUACGAAUUGUAGUUUAAAGAAGUGUUUUCUGUUGGAGUUUUGGUAAAAGUUCUUUGGAAUAGGACAUCAUAGAGGGUGAGAAUCCCGUAUUUGACCAUUAUUUCCAGCUGUGUGAUACACUUUCAAAGAGUCGGAUUGUUUGGGAAUGCAGUCCAAAGUGGGUGGUAAAUUUCAUCUAAAGCUAAAUAUUGGCGAGAGACCGAUAGCGAACAAGUACCGUGAGGGAAAGAUGAAAAGAACUUUGAAAAGAGAGUUAAACAGUACGUGAAAUUGUCAAAAGGGAAGCGUUUGACACCAGUGUUGUUUUCUCGAAAAUCAAUUAAAAAUGAUGGGAUUUUGUGUUGUAUUGACUUUAUCAGCUUUCUGCACUUUUUUCUUAUCUUUUUUAAUGCACUUUUCGUUUAACAAGUCAACAUCAAUUUCUUUUGUUGUAAAAGAGUCAUUGGAAGGUGGCUUUUUCUUCGGAAAAAGUGUUUAUAGCCUUUGGCUUCUGCAAUCGGAGAGAUUGAGGUCUGCAGCGUAGAUCCUUCGGGGUUAGAUACAUUUGUGCUAAGCUAUAGUUCUUUAUAGACAACUUGUUGACUAUAAUCAAUCCUGUAACUUACUCGCUUAUGCUAUUUUACCUACGCUUAGGAUGUUGAAGUCAUCGUAUCGCGC